GGUGAUAUUGCCGAGGAGGUCCCACCUGUUCUCAUCCCGAACACAGAAGUUAAGCUCCUCAGGGCCGAUGGUACUGGUCGGGUGACUGGCUGGAAGAGUAGGACGUUGCCG
rnacentral:rRNA from 1 species